rnacentral:rRNA from 1 species
UACGGGGGGAGCAAGCGUUGUUCGGAUUUACUGGGCGUAAAGGGCGCGUAGGCGGCCACCGCAAGUCGACUGUGAAAUCUCCGGGCUUAACCCGGGAAAGGUCAGCCGAUACUGCGGGGCUAGAGUGGCAGGAAGGGGCAACUGGAAUUCUCGGUGUAGCGGUGAAAUGCGUAGAUAUCGAGAGGAACACCUGCGGCGAAGGCGGGGUUGCUGGGCUGAAUGACUGACGUGGACGGCGCGAAAGCCAGGGGGAGCGGAACGGGGA